UUGUCUAUUCACUUUCAUAUCUGCUACAAUUAUUGAAAAGGAAAAUGCAAUUACAGUGUCUUCCGGGCUUAAAAACGAUUCCACUCUUUAACGGCUAAAUGUCGUUUUUCUAAUUUUAAAGAAAAAAGUAUAAGCUUCCUCUUUCUCCUCCUUCAUGCCAUCACUAAAUACACAUAAAGCAGGACACAAAGGGUGAGAAAUCUUGAAUACCUCAUCAUUGUCAUGAAUGAGGUUUGUGUCCAUGAAAUUCACUGUCAACCCUAUUUUCCUCUGCCUUGCAAAUGCCAAGAUAUUUUAAGGAAAAACUUUCAAGAACUGAAGCAAUACCAUUUGCUUUUCUAAGGGGUAGGAGUAGAACUGGAGGGUAGAAAAGAGAAAUUUUUUUUUUCUGUGGAUUCUGCCUAAACUUUCAAGUGAAAUAAUUUCCUUGGGAUAUUGAGAUAAGAAGAAUCAAACAUUAGAGAAAGGAAAAAAGCCCUGUCAGGUUGGUCAUCUUUCUUCUUGCCAGUUCACCUUCAUAGUUCCUUCUGGAAUAUCACUGGAAUUUCAAUUUAGGAGAUGAUACGGCUUUAUGCACAUAAAAACUUCAGAAACCAGUUACCAUGAAUACUGUGACAACAGCAUCUCACUAAAAAUAUUAGCAGGCUGUAGGAUGAUGCAUGAUGCAAGUCUGAAGUUGUAUGUGGCCAUCUUUGCCACCACAUUCAGAAAGCUUACCUGAGAAUGAAGUCAACAUUGGAGAGAAAGAGAAAGAGAAAGAAAGAGGGAGAACAUAUCAGGUAGAAUCUCUCCACAAUGGCGACAAAGAUGGUCACUAGCAAGUCCAAGCCUCCAUUCUCUUUAAAACUUGCAAUCCAUGAGGACAAAGAAAAACAAUCUUUUUUUUUCCAAUAUCUAUGUUACUUCUAAAAGAAGAUAUUAAGGAAAGCCUGUAUGAAAUUUCACUCAUCAGUCAAGACCAUACUGGCCUUGAAUAAAAUUUAUAAGCAGUUUUUUUGUUUGUUUGUUUGUUUUUGAGACGGAGUCUCGCUCUGCCGCCCAGGCUGGAGUGCAGUGGCGCGAUCUCGGCUCACUGCAAGCUCCGCCUCCUGGGUUCACGCCAUUCUCCUGCCUCAGGCUCCCAAGUAGCUGGAACUACAGGCACCUGCCACCAGGCCUGGCUAAUUUUUUGUAUUUUUAGUAGAGAUGGGGUUUCACAGUGUUAGCCAGAAUGGUCUCGAUCUCCUGACCUCGUGAUCCGCCCACCUCGGCCUCCCAAAGUGCUGGGAUCUUUAUAAGCAGUUUUUAUAAAGAAAGUGAACAUUGUGAUUAAUAAAAUAUAUAUUCUUAUAGAUGUGGGCAUUCCUUAUAGAAACACAUGUCUUAUAGAUAGGUAAAUAAUGGGCAACGAUAAUUUCUUUACUCAAUCACUAAGAGACAAGGUAGGGAUCACUUUUUUAUCUCUUAAAUUUAGAAACACAUAGUCCUAUUAUUUAUCAGCAAAUUGCUCUUUCAGAGUUACAAUUAAAAUAUUUUAAAUCGUAGAGCUGAAUGUGAGAAAAUGAACUAGAAAGAAUAUAAAGUUGAAUAUUUUUCUUUCAA